GGCGGCAUGCUUUACACAUGCAAGUCGAACGGCAGCACGGACUUCGGUCUGGUGGCGAGUGGCGAACGGGUGAGUAAUACAUCGGAACGUACCCAGUAAUGGGGGAUAACUAUCCGAAAGGAUAGCUAAUACCGCAUACGCCCUGCGGGGGAAAGAGGGGGAUCUUAGGACCUCUUGUUAUUGGAGCGGCCGAUGGCUGAUUAGCUAGUUGGUGGGGUAAAGGCCCACCAAGGCGACGAUCAGUAGCGGGUCUUAGAGGACGAUCCGCCACACUGGAACUGAGACACGGUCCAGACUCCUACGGGAGGCAGCAGUGGGAAAUCUUGGACAAUGGGCGCAAGCCUGAUCCAGCAAUGCCGCGUGCGUGAAGAAGGCCUUCGGGUUGUAAAGCGCUUUUGUCAGGGAGCAAAAGGUGUUGGCUAAUAUCCAACGCUCUUGAGAGUACCUGAAGAAUAAGGACCGGCUAACUACGUGCCAGCAGCCGCGGUAAUACGUAGGGUCCAAGCGUUAAUCGGAAUUACUGGGCGUAAAGCGUGCGCAGGUGGUUUGUUAAGCGCGAUGUGAAAUCCCCGAGCUCAACUUGGGAAUUGCAUUGCGAACUGGCUAACUAGAGUACGGCAGAGGGGGGUGGAAUUCCACGUGUAGCAGUGAAAUGCGUAGAGAUGUGGAGGAACACCGAUGGCGAAGGCAACCCCCUGGGCUGAUACUGACACUCAUGCACGAAAGCGUGGGGAGCAAACAGGAUUAGAUACCCUGGUAGUCCACGCCCUAAACGAUGUCAACUAGUUGUUGGGCUUUUCGGAGCUUAGUAACGCAGCUAACG
rnacentral:rRNA from 1 species